GGGGUUGUGGCUCAGAGGAAAAGCACUCACCUAGCAUGUGUGGGGCACUGAGUUCAAUCCUCAGCACCACA
rnacentral:tRNA from 1 species